GGCCACAUGGUGGCUUAGUGGUUAUCACAUCCGCCUCACACCUCCAGGGUUGGGUUCGAUUCCCACCGUGGCCC